GUGAGUAGUUCAGAGUUUGAUCCUGGCUCAGGAUGAACGCUGGCGGCGUGCAUAACACAUUCAAGUCGAACGGAGAUUUGAGGAUUAAUCCUUCGGGAAGCGUCCUUGGAUCUUAGUGGCGGACGGGUGAGUAACGCGUGAGCAACCUGCCUCUAUGUGCGGGAUAACGUCGGGAAACUGACGCUAAUACCGCAUAACACAUAAAUACCGCAUGAUAUAUAUGUCAAAGAUUUAUUGCAUAGAGAUGGGCUCGCGUCUGAUUAGGUAGUUGGUAAGGUAACGGCUUACCAAGCCUACGAUCAGUAGCCGGACUGAGAGGUUGAACGGCCACAUUGGAACUGAGAUACGGUCCAG
rnacentral:rRNA from 1 species